rnacentral:misc_RNA from 1 species
GAAAUGCGAUAAGUAGUGUGAAUUGCAGAAUUCAGUGAAUCAUCGAAUCUUUGAACGCACAUUGCGCCCCUUGGUAUUCCAUGGGGCAUGCCUGUUCGAGCGUCAUUUGUACUCUCAAGCUUUGCUUGGUGUUGGGUGUUUGUCCUUCCUCUACGUUUGGACUCGCCUUAAAGGUAUUGGCAGCCGAUAUAAUGGUUUGAAGCGCAGCACAAUUUGCGAUUUUAGCCAGUACAUCAGCCUCCAUGAAGCAUAAUUAUCACUUUUGACCUCGGAUCAGGUAGGGAUACCCGCUGAACUUAA